rnacentral:rRNA from 1 species
AUUGAACGCUGGCGGCAGGCCUAACACAUGCAAGUCGAACGGUAACAGGAAGACGCUUGCUUCUUUGCUGACGAGUGGCGGAUGGUAGAGUAAUGUCUGGGAAACUGCCUGGUGGAGGGGGAUAACUACUGUAAACGGUAGCUAAUACCGCAUAACGUCGCAAGAGCAAAGAGGGGGGCCUUCGGGCCUCUUGCCAUCGGAUGUGCGCAGAUGGGAUUAGCUAGUAGGUGGGGUAACGGCUCACCUAGGCGACGAUCCGUAGCUGGUCUGAGAGGAUGACCAGCCACACUGGAACUGAGACACGGUCCAGACUCCUACGGGAGGCAGCAGUGGGGAAUAUUGGACAAUGGGCGCAAGCCUGAUGCAGCCAUGCCGCGUGUAUGAAGAAGGCCUUCGGGUUGUAAAGUACUUUUAGCGGGGAGGAAGGGAGUAAAGUUAAUACCGUUGCGUAUUGACGUUACCCGCAGAAGAAGCACCGGCUAACUACGUG